rnacentral:rRNA from 1 species
CCUACGGGUGGCAGCAGUGAGGAAUAUUGGUCAAUGGUCGGGAGACUGAACCAGCCAAGCCGCGUGAGGGAUGAAGGUACAGAGUAUCGUAAACCUCUUUUGUCAGGGAACAAAGGCGGGGACGUGUCCCCGGAUGAGUGUACCUGACGAACAAGCAUCGGCUAACUCCGUGCCAGCAGCCGCGGUACUACGGAGGAUGCGAGGGUUAUCCGGAUUUAUUGGGGUAAAGGGGUGCGCGGGCGGUCUGUUAAGUCGGCGGGAAAAGCCCGGGGCUAAACCCGGGCCCGCCGGUGAAACUGGCAGGCUCGAGUUGGAGAGAAGGAUGCGGAAUGCGCGGUGUAGCGGUGAAAUGCAUAGAUAUCGCGCAGAACUCCGAUUGCGAAGGCAGCAUGCCGGAUCAACACUGACGCUGAGGCACGAAAGCGUGGGUAUCGAACAGGAUUAGAUACCCCUGUAGUC